UACUGAUUUAGUGGUAGAGCGUCCGUCUCAGAUGCGGGAGGUCGCGGGUUUGAACCCUGGCCUUGUCAU